UACGUAGGGCGCAAGCGUUGUCCGGAAUUAUUGGGCGUAAAGAGCUCGUAGGCGGCUUGUCACGUCGGAUGUGAAAGCCCGAGGCUUAACCUCGGGUCUGCAUUCGAUACGGGCUAGCUAGAGUGUGGUAGGGGAGAUCGGAAUUCCUGGUGUAGCGGUGAAAUGCGCAGAUAUCAGGAGGAACACCGGUGGCGAAGGCGGAUCUCUGGGCCUUACCUGACGCUGAGGCGCGAAAGCUAGGGGAGCAAACAGG
rnacentral:rRNA from 1 species